AUGAACGCUGGCGGCGUGCCUAAUACAUGCAGGUCGAGCGAACAGACGAGGAGCUUGCUCCUCUGACGUUAGCGGCGGACGGGUGAGUAACACGUGGAUAACCUACCUAUAAGACUGGGAUAACUUCGGGAAACCGGAGCUAAUACCGGAUAAUAUAUUGAACCGCAUGGUUCAAUAGUGAAAGACGGUUUUGCUGUCACUUAUAGAUGGAUCCGCGCCGCAUUAGCUAGUUGGUAAGGUAACGGCUUACCAAGGCAACGAUGCGUAGCCGAACUGAGAGGGUGGUCGGCCACACUGGAACUGAGACACGGUCCAGACUCCUACGGGAGGCAGCAGUAGGGAAUCUUCCGAAAUGGGCGAAAGCUUGACGGAGCAACGCCGCGUGAGUGAUGAAGGUCUUCGGAUCGUAAAACUCUGUUAUUAGGGAAGAACAAAUGUGUAAGUAACUAUGCACGUCUUGACGGUACCUAAUCAGAAAGCCACGGCUAACUACGUG
rnacentral:rRNA from 1 species